AAACGACUGCUAAUACCGCAUACGCCCUACGGGGGAAAGGAGGGGACCUUCGGGCCUUUCGCGAUUGGAUGAACCCAGGUGGGAUUAGCUAGUUGGUGGGGUAAUGGCUCACCAAGGCGACGAUCCCUAGCUGGUCUGAGAGGAUGAUCAGCCACACUGGAACUGGGACACGGUCCAGACUCCUACGGGAGGCAGCAGUGGGGAAUAUUGCACAAUGGGGGAAACCCUGAUGCAGCCAUGCCGCGUGUGUGAAGAAGGCCUUCGGGUUGUAAAGCACUUUCAGCGAGGAGGAAAGGUUGGCGCCUAAUACGUGUCAACUGUGACGUUACUCGCAGAAGAAGCACCGGCUAACUCCGUGCCAGCAGCCGCGGUAAUACGGAGGGUGCAAGCGUUAAUCGGAAU
rnacentral:rRNA from 1 species